AUGGGCAUCGAUCUCAACGCGGCGGACGAGCCUGGCAAGGCGGCGGCGGUGUCGGUGUGCCGGGACCUGUGGCACGCCUGCGCGGGGCCGGUCGUGGCGCUGCCGCGCCGGGGCAGCGCCGUCGUCUACCUGCCGCAGGCGCACCUCGCCGCGGCCGGCGGCGGGGGGGACGUGCCGGUGGCCCUGCCGCCGCAUGUGGCGUGCCGCGUGGUGGACGUCGAGCUAUGCGCGGAUCCGGCGACCGACGAGGUCUACGCGCGGCUGGCUAUGGUGGCGGAGGGCGAGAUCUUUGAGAAGAACAUGGGAGGUGGUCGGUUUGAAGGGGAAGAUGACAUGGAAGAUGGCGAUGGAGAAAGGAAGUCCCGGAUGCUGCACAUGUUCUGCAAGACACUAACAGCCUCUGACACAAGCACACACGGGGGAUUCUCUGUUCCCCGCCGUGCUGCCGAGGACUGUUUCCCCCCACUGGACUACCAGCAGAUCAGGCCUUCCCAAGAGCUUGUUGCAAAGGAUUUGCAUGGAGCGAAGUGGAGGUUCCGCCAUAUCUAUAGAGGUCAACCACGUAGGCAUCUUUUAACGACUGGAUGGAGUUCAUUUGUCAAUAAAAAGAAACUUGUCUCUGGGGAUGCAGUCUUAUUUCUCCGUGGUGAUGAUGGUGAACUACGACUUGGUGUAAGGAGAGCCAUUCAGCUUAAAAAUGAGGCCCUUCUGAAAGCUUUCAAUAGCAACAGCUCAAAGAUACACACACUGUCUGCUGUGGCUAAUUCCUUGAAACAUAGAAGUGUUUUUCACAUCUGUUACAAUCCAAGGGCUGCUGCAUCCGAAUUUAUUGUUCCGUACUGGAAGUUCCUGAAGAGCCUGAAUCGUCCAUUUUGUAUUGGAAUGAGGUUUAAGAUUCAGUAUGGGAGUGAAGAUGUUAAUGAGAGGCGAUCUGGAAUGAUUACAGGUAUUAAUGAAGUAGACCCCAUUAGGUGGACUGGUUCAAAAUGGAAAAGCCUGCAGGUAAGAUGGGAGGAUGGCACCGACUGUAAUAGCCAAAAUAGACUAUCGCCAUGGGAUAUCGAGAUAGUUGGUGGCUCGGUCUCUAUUGCCCAGUCUCUGUCAGCAUCCAGUUCUAAACGAACUAAACUGUGCCCUCAGGGCAAUGUGGACGUCCCAACUCUGUAUGGGAAUGUUCGUCCGGACUCCGUGGGAGCUGAUAAACUCCCCAGGGUCUUGCAAGGUCAAGAAUUGAUGGGUUCUGGAACUCAUCGUUUUACAUGUCCUCCUCAGCCAGGUGGCGCCACAGAAUUCCGGCGUUCUGAUGGUACGGGGUUCCUUACUGAUACACGAAGCUGCUUGCUGAGUGGUCCAGCAAGCAGGCUUCCACCUCAAAGCUCCUAUUUCGCCUACCAACCUGUAGGCUUCGGUGAAUCCGUUGGGUUCCCGGAGGUCUUGCAAGGUCAAGAAGUUUGUCAGACGGUUCCUCUGUACCAAGGAAUGGUGUCUGAUACAUGUUCCGCUAAAGCGGGAUACGGGAUGUACAAUUACAUGCGCACCUCGUCUGCCAUGAACGGAGGGUUUUCAUCUGCACCUCAGGGUUAUCCUCUCUCCCUGUCUACUCCGCCCCGAGCAGUGGCGGCUUCGCCCUCAUCCGCAGCGGUUCCACCACAGCUUUGGCUGGCAAGCAAGAGCAAUGAAGAAGCUGCGAAUGGCAGCCAGCUUAACCCAUUUGGAAUUCGAAAGGUUCCUGGUGAUGGUGCUGCUAAGCUUGGUGAUGGUGCUGCUAAGCUUGGAUCUGAUGGAAGGAAGGUUGCCAGAACCAGUUGCAUGCUUUUCGGGUUUUCCUUGACCGAGAAGAUGUUGCCAACGGAAGAAGACUCUGCCAAGGAAGGGAACCAUGAAGUCGACUGUCAGAAUCCGCGGAUGCUAGACUUGUUUGGAUACAACCGCGCCACUCCCGGCACUCUUCACGCCCUCUGCGCCGCUCCCCUGGGAAUAUGA
rnacentral:rRNA from 1 species